UACGAAGGGUGCAAGCGUUACUCGGAAUUACUGGGCGUAAAGGGUGCGUAGGCGGGUCUUUAAGUCAGGGGUGAAAUCCUGGAGCUCAACUCCAGAACUGCCUUUGAUACUGGGGAUCUCGAGUCCGGGAGAGGUGAGUGGAAUUCCCAGUGUAGCGGUGAAAUGCGUAGAUAUUGGGAGGAACACCAGUGGCGAAGGCGGCUCACUGGACCGGAACUGACGCUGAGGCGCGAAAGCGUGGGGAGCAAACAGG
rnacentral:rRNA from 1 species